UGUCUCCCUCUCUCUCUGCUCCUCCCCCACUCACACUCUGUCUCUCUCUCAAAAAUAAAUAAAAACAUUCAAAUUAAAAAAAAUGAGUCAGACGCUUCACCAAGUGAACCACUUAGGUUUUGUUUAACAUAGAGCUUUCGGUGUCACCCCAGAUCAACUGGACCAGAAUCUCUUGGAAACUGUUUCUCUCCCUCCUACUCUUUCCUCUUAGAUGAUUCUGUAGUCUCUGUGGAGGUGAGGUUCCACAUGGCACAGGUAACCCUGUUGGUUUUCCUCUGCCUCCCCCAACAUGGCGUGCGUUGGGCCAGAGUCCCCUCCAGCCAAUGGUCAGGGAUAGCCAGGCGGCCGCUUCCUCCCAGGUGAGUGGUGGCUAGAAACUGAUUAUAAUUCCAAAGGCACAUUUGCACCUCCUGAAUUCUAACAACUGCCAACCUUUAUCCUCUCUCCCUGGACCAAUGCUUUGAAAGUGCCCACUUGCCUCAAGCCAUGUCAAACCCACAGCAUAAUAUCCAGCGUGGCAUUCCUCCCGGACUCACUUGUGGCUCCUCCUGCCGUAUCUGGUCAACAGCGUUCACCAGAGAAGGGAUAAUGGCUGAAGCCUCAUCUAGGGUGCAGUCAGCAAGCAGAGCUGUAUCUAAAUUGCGGUCUGCUACAUCUUGUUGGACAAGGGAGGGACCAGCUCCUUCUGGAUACAGAUGGGGUACACUCACUCUGCUGUGCUGGUGGACCGUCCUGGAGAGUGGGAUACAAGAUUACCCAAGCACACGCUUUUCUGUUCCCGACUGUUGUGGAUUUGAAAGUAUAUUCUUUUUUAAUACUAAAAUAUUUCUGGGACGAAUAGCUUAGCAACCAAUCGGUAUUUUCUAAGAUGGUCCUAAAUGACGCAAGCCAGUGCAUGAAAAUACCGACUCCGCAUUUUCUUAAAAACAAUCUUAGAUCACUGUCAUUUCAGAAAAAGUCUUGCCCAAAAAGUUGAAAUGGAGGAGAUUUUCCUAUCAUUGUACCAGUUUAGCGAAUGCAGGAACCGCAGUGGGCUGAAUGGUGCCCCCCUCCCCCAAAUCUGUCCAGGUCCUAAUGCCUCGAACCUGUGGAUUUGACCUUAUUGGGGAAAAGAGGUUUUGUCAAUGUAACUGAGUUAGGCUUAUUUUAGAUUAUCUGGUGGUCCCUAAAUCCAGUGACUAGUGUCCUCAUAAGUGUGAGGCAGAGGGAGGAGGGACACUGACAGUCACCAGAAACUGGAAAGGCAAAGGACGGAUCUUUCCCCCCAGUGCCUGGAAGCGUGACCCUGCCCAAGCGUGCUUUUGGACGUCUGACCUCUAGAACUUCCAGAGAAUGAAUUUUCUCUUGUUUCAAGUCACCCAGUUUGUGGCAAUUUAUUACAGGAGCCAUGGGAAACCGAUACAGAAACUGAACGUAUCCUAGGUACAGACCAGAAAGGGCUGAAACAGUAUGUGGGAAACCUUGGGAGGGGCUUGGGGAUACGACGGAGGUCCCCAGUAAUGGUAGAUGAAAACCAGACCGAGAGGGCAUUGGAGUCCUCAGUGGAGGGACGGACGCCCAUGUUGGGCACAGACCAAAGGCUGUGAUAGACUUCUCCCGCACAGCCACCAGCCUCAGAGCUCUUGCUGCCUACUCAGCUAGGAUCAAGUGAGGCAGCCGUGUUGCCUAGAUAUUUACAUCCACAUUUAGGCCUGAUUUCUGCCGAUUUGGUGAAAAAAAAUCUCUGAAAGAACACACACACCUGUAUUCAAGUUGUAUGUUCACAGGAGGAUGGUUUUAGCUCGGGUUCCAGUGUGUGAGCCUGUGUUCAGUAAAGUGUCACAAAAUUUUGCUGAAUGUCUCUUCUUUUCCAGUCCCUGCGCUGAGCCCUGGAGCUACGGAGUUGAUGAAGACGUGGUUUCCCCCUUAAGGUGUGCAUCGCAGUGCAGCAAUGGAGGGGACCACUCAGUGCAAUACGACCUCAGCUUCAGUCCCUCUUGCACUGAGUGGAUGUUGGAUCGAGCCCACAAGUCCCUUGCAAAUUUUAGAGCUCUGGAUCUGACCACAGAAGCACGAGAGUCCUCUGGGCACCCAUCACUGAAGGCAGAAUGUUCUGACCAUGACCCCUGUGCCCAGCACCGUGGUUGGAUGUGACCCGUGUGAAUCCUUCAUCAGUUCAAGAAUCACUGCAUUUUACCUGCCACACGACCCUCGUUUCUGCCAUCUGACAUGCCACUGCUCAGUGACCCAUGCCAGUCGGUAAGGAUCUGGUGAAAAUUAUUUACAAAAUGGGUGCUUUUGUAAAUUGCCAAUAGCUGUGAAAUUUGGUGCAAGCUUUUAGGGGAAAAAUAAAGUUGGAAAUGAAAUCAAGAA